UCGUCACACUAUCAUUAACUGAAUCCAUAGGUUAAUGAGGCGAACCGGGGGAACUGAAACAUCUAAGUACCCCGAGGAAAAGAAAUCAACCGAGAUUCCCCCAGUAGCGGCGAGCGAACGGGGAGGAGCCCAGAGCCUGAAUCAGCAUGUGUGUUAGUGGAAGCGUCUGGAAAGGCGCGCGAUACAGGGUGACAGCCCCGUACACAAAAGCGCAUGUGCUGUGAGCUCGAUGAGUAGGGCGGGACACGUGGUAUCCUGUCUGAAUAUGGGGGGACCAUCCUCCAAGGCUAAAUACUCCUGACUGACCGAUAGUGAACCAGUACCGUGAGGGAAAGGCGAAAAGAACCCCGGCGAGGGGAGUGAAAAAGAACCUGAAACCGUGUACGUACAAGCAGUGGGAGCACAGGUUUACCUGUGUGACUGCGUACCUUUUGUAUAAUGGGUCAGCGACUUAUAUUCUGUAGCAAGGUUAACCGUAUAGGGGAGCCGGAGGGAAACCGAGUCUUAAUUGGGCGUUAAGUUGCAGGGUAUAGACCCGAAACCCGGUGAUCUAGCCAUGGGCAGGUUGAAGGUUGGGUAACACUAACUGGAGGACCGAACCGACUAAUGUUGAAAAAUUAGCGGAUGACCUGUGGCUGGGGGUGAAAGGCCAAUCAAACCGGGAGAUAGCUGGUUCUCCCCGAAAGCUAUUUAGGUAGCGCCUCGUGAAUUCAUCUCCGGGGGUAGAGCACUGUUUCGGCUAGGGGGCCAUCCCGGCUUACCAACCCGAUGCAAACUGCGAAUACCGGAGAAUGUUAUCACGGGAGACACACGGCGGGUGCUAACGUCCGUCGUGAAGAGGGAAACAACCCAGACCGCCAGCUAAGGUCCCAAAGUCAUGGUUAAGUGGGAAACGAUGUGGGAAGGCCCAGACAGCCAGGAUGUUGGCUUAGAAGCAGCCAUCAUUUAAAGAAAGCGUAAUAGCUCACUGGUCGAGUCGGCCUGCGCGGAAGAUGUAACGGGGCUAAACCAUGCACCGAAGCUGCGGCAGCGANNUGCUGGAGGUAUCAGAAGUGCGAAUGCUGACAUAAGUAACGAUAAAGCGGGUGAAAAGCCCGCUCGCCGGAAGACCAAGGGUUCCUGUCCAACGUUAAUCGGGGCAGGGUGAGUCGACCCCUAAGGCGAGGCCGAAAGGCGUAGUCGAUGGGAAACGGGUUAAUAUUCCCGUACUUGGUGUUACUGCGAAGGGGGGACGGAGAAGGCUAUGUUGGCCGGGCGACGGUUGUCCCGGUUUAAGCGUGUAGGUGUGUGUUCCAGGUAAAUCCGGUUCACUUUAACACUGAGGCGUGANNNNNNNNNNNNNNNNNGGAGCUGAAGUCAGUCGAAGAUACCAGCUGGCUGCAACUGUUUAUUAAAAACACAGCACUGUGCAAACACGAAAGUGGACGUAUACGGUGUGACGCCUGCCCGGUGCCGGAAGGUUAAUUGAUGGGGUCAGCGCAAGCGAAGCUCCUGAUCGAAGCCCCGGUAAACGGCGGCCGUAACUAUAACGGUCCUAAGGUAGCGAAAUUCCUUGUCGGGUAAGUUCCGACCUGCACGAAUGGCGUAAUGAUGGCCAGGCUGUCUCCACCCGAGACUCAGUGAAAUUGAACUCGCUGUGAAGAUGCAGUGUACCCGCGGCAAGACGGAAAGACCCCGUGAACCUUUACUAUAGCUUGACACUGAACAUUGAGCCUUGAUGUGUAGGAUAGGUGGGAGGCUUUGAAGUGUGGACGCCAGUCUGCAUGGAGCCGACCUUGAAAUACCACCCUUUAAUGUUUGAUGUUCUAACGUGGACCCGUAAUCCGGGUUGCGGACAGUGUCUGGUGGGUAGUUUGACUGGGGCGGUCUCCUCCUAAAGAGUAACGGAGGAGCACGAAGGUUGGCUAAUCCUGGUCGGACAUCAGGAGGUUAGUGCAAUGGCAUAAGCCAGCUUGACUGCGAGCGUGACGGCGCGAGCAGGUGCGAAAGCAGGUCAUAGUGAUCCGGUGGUUCUGAAUGGAAGGGCCAUCGCUCAACGGAUAAAAGGUACUCCGGGGAUAACAGGCUGAUACCGCCCAAGAGUUCAUAUCGACGGCGGUGUUUGGCACCUCGAUGUCGGCUCAUCACAUCCUGGGGCUGAAGUAGGUCCCAAGGGUAUGGCUGUUCGCCAUUUAAAGUGGUACGCGAGCUGGGUUUAGAACGUCGUGAGACAGUUCGGUCCCUAUCUGCCGUGGGCGCUGGAGAACUGAGGGGGGCUGCUCCUAGUACGAGAGGACCGGAGUGGACGCAUCACUGGUGUUCGGGUUGUCAUGCCAAUGGCACUGCCCGGUAGCUAAAUGCGGAAGAGAUAAGUGCUGAAAGCAUCUAAGCACGAAACUUGCCCCGAGAUGAGUUCUCCCUGAGACUU
rnacentral:rRNA from 1 species